GCGCUCUGUGUUCCAUCCUCCGUCCACUUGAGCUCUGCCUCUUCCUCGACGUUCUCUCCCCCUCUCUCCGUGGCCCCAGAGCAGCCCGACUUCGGGAACCCGAGUUUCAGUCCUCUCCAGACAGCAGCCCUUCUCCUGCGUGAAGCCGUGUUCCCAAAGUUACCAGUUUGGGCGUUUUGCGAAUAUUUACAGUGAUGGGGUCUCACUAUGUUGCCUGAACUGGUCCCCAAGUGACCCAACUGCCUAUGCCUCCCAAAUCAUUGGAAUUACAGAUUGGAGAUCAGAGUUUGAGCCUGAGGAUGAAAGCCUCAUGCUAAGAAGAGUGGAGCGGAAAGAUAAAGCAUGGCAACAUCGAUGACACCCUAGGCCUAAUACACCAGCCCUGACCUGCUUACCUUCUCUCAUUUGUAGGCUAUGUAGUCCAGUCACUUUCACAUGCAGCUGAGUACAACCCUAAAUGAUAUA